AUGCUUUUCUCAUCAAUACGUACCACCUGUUGUAGAUUCAAUGAAACCCACGUAAUUGAGUAUCUAUUUAGCUACUGCAAUGAACAAAAGUUUCAUAUCGCUAACAAAGUUUCAUCUACAAGGUUUUUCUUUUUUUCCCUUAUACCUUUUUUUUCCCCCACAGGGUUUAAAAAAGUUAGUCAUGAAACAAGUUAUUUUCUUUCAAUCUUAAUCUCUCUCGUGUAUGAAUAGUUUGAUUUAUUUAGAGACAGUUCAUGUUUCUCUUCUUGAAUUUUAUUUAGUGUCCAUCUGUUUUGGAACAAGUAAAGUCAAUAGAAAGAUUUCUAGUUCAAGUGCACAGUCGAGCUUUACAUUUUUUAUGAGCUUCAUUCUCUGUAUCUGAUAAUAAGCGUUGAAUUUUAUUUAUUUUUAAUAAAAAUUGCUGGAUCCUCCAAAUCUUCCUUACCAAUGCUGGUCAGUUAUGCUAAUGGACAAAAAAUUACAAUGAAGAAUCAGUUUCCAAUCAUUAGGUGUGAUCUUGUAAAUGCAUUUUGAAUCUAAUUUUAUUGCAUUUUUUCUCAUUAUGAAGGGGCGACCUGUUUCAAGUUGGCUGCUUGUAAUGAAAAAAUGUGUUUGUAUAAAUAUUGUUAAUACAUUCUGUUGUAAAAAAAUAAUCUGAAAUGUGUUUUUUUGAGUUCUCCGAAAAUUAAAUGUAAAACCCUUCAUUAGAUAGAUUUUUAAAAAGAUGACACCAAUUAGUCUUUUGGUGGAGCUACCAGAGUGUGCCAUUUUUCAAAGACUUUCAAAAACCUUUCUGAUGUUCCCCUCUCCCUCGCCAUGGGCGUAGGAAAGGGGGGUAGAGGGACCUGGCCUCCCCAGCAUUGAAAAUAGCAUCAUCUACCCCCUGCCCCCCUCCAGAAAUUCUGGAAGAUGGAAAAAACCCACGUGAUCUUGUUUAAUGUGGAGUUUUAAAUGAAAAUACCAUGUUCAUUCAGUUAGUAUUUUUUAACAUUUGUGUCACGGUAGCCUCGGAAUAUGUCCAAAUCUAGGUAAAAUUUAAAAAAAUGUUCCGAAUCUGUCGAAUACAACAGUUCGAAAGUAUUUAGUGAAGAAAAAUACUGAAGCAUGAUUUUCUUGCAGACAUUUUUGGAAGUGCGUCUUAAUAGAGAUAAAAUUUCAAAAAUUUUGUUAAACCACGUAACCUAAGUCGACUCAAACUCUGACCAUUUAGUCAACAAUGAAGCUUUGGUCGCGAAGAAAGUCACUCACAAGGCAAAACAUGACGUACCAGUCUUAGGAGAGGGGGAGUAAUUAUCCGGAAUCUAACUUAAAUUGCUGAACUUAUUUGACUAAUUGGAAACUGUCGGAUAAUCCAUGCCCCUUUGCUUUUUUCCGUGGAAUUUAGGAUUUACUUUUCCAAUGAUAUUUUGACGCCUAUGAAAAUGUCUGUAAUUUC
rnacentral:lncRNA from 1 species